ensembl:misc_RNA Metazoa_SRP Metazoan signal recognition particle RNA
GCCGGGCAGGGUGGCAUGUGCCUGUAAUCCCAGCUACUUGGGAGGCUGAGGCAGGGAAUCAUUUGAACCUGGGACGUGGAGGUUGCAGUGAGCCAAGAUCGUGCUACUGCACUCCCGCCUGGGCAACAGAGUGAAAAUUUUUAUUUAUUUAUUUAUGUUUUUGAAACAGAGUCUCACUCUGUUGCCCAGGCUGGAGUGCAGUGGCGUGAUCUGGGCUCACUGCAACCUCCACCUCCUGGGUUCAAGCGAUUCUCCUGCCUCAG